AGGAUCGUAUCCGGAUUGGAAACUUUAAUUGGCUCUCCAAUGUAGAGUUUGAGUAACUAGAAUCCAAGGAAAUAUUCGAGUCAAAAGUUCAAUGCAGCCAAGGUAUUCCGGUCGUAGUUGAUGGUGUUGUAGAAAUGUACUUGAGAUAUUAUGACUGAAGCUCGCUGCGACGGUCAUAAUUGUGGGAUUAUGGGCGUUCUCUAUUUUAUAGGUUUGGUAUAUGUAUUGUGACGCUUAUGUCACAUAUUAUUUGUAAAGUCAUUCUUUGAUGCAAUUAUUAUUUGGAUAAGCCUUAAACAGAUAGACAUUAUGGCUCUUUUUGUGUAAAUAUCAGUUUAUGUUUAUAGAUGUGACUUCUGCUGUUCAGAUUAUGUUUUCCGCUGCAUAAAUGUUAUUAGGUGUGUUACUCUGAUUAUCAGGUAUAUAUUAUGGGGUAUGUACCGUAUGUUGGUUUUA